GUUAUGAUAAGUAUUUAAGCUAAAUUUUUUUAUUUUUUCAUUGUUAAAUAGAUUAUCCAUUCACUGGGACUAAGGUCUCAUUCUCUCUCACUUCCUUUGUUGCAGACUUGAAGCAUUUUAGUAUAGAAGCAAAGCAUCAGCAUCUUCAACAACAUUAAUACUAAAGGAGGUUGGUCAUGUCUGCCAGUGGGAGGAGGAUACUUUUGGUCACGUCAGC
rnacentral:lncRNA from 1 species